AUUAAUUUACUUAUAAUUGCUCUCCCAACAAUCAUUUUCAAUUAUGACUUGAAUACUUCACAAAAUCUACAUAAAUCUUUACAAGAUAUAUUUUGUAGAAUGGUUAGUGCAUGUGCUUCAUAAGUCUAAUUAAAAGAACUAUAUUUUAUUAGCAUAUUUGACAUGUAAACAAAGUCAUUUUAACCACUAAUUGAGUUACUGAAGUAUUGGUCGGAAGCAAAUGCCACAACAUUGCUUUUAAAGAUGUAUGAGAAUAGUUACGUGAUUACCAUUGUCAGUAAUUGAUUAAUUUCCAUUCAUGAUCAAUUCCAAAAUCAUUAUUAGAACCUAAACCAAAACACACAUAAAAAAAAAACCAAAAUAACAUAAAUCUGAAUUGAAUCUAUCAUGAAAGAACCUCAAUUCUCCUAAUCUGUCACGAUAUGGGAUGUGGCAUAAUUCAGAUCAAUGCGCAUGAUGGUUAUAAUGCGGAGCGGGUUAAACCGCAUGAACCAAAUAAAGCCCGAUGACCUUCUUUGCCAUUUGCACACGAUAACUAUUGAUAUCAAGAACCAUCAAUCCAGGUUUCGAGAUCGCAAAGGACAUUGAGGACUACAAGCAACCCAAUAAAAAUGAAAACAUGUGAAAGUGGCUAGGGGCUAAGCCUUAGCCAGCAGAUAAAAGGAAGGACUAAGCCUUAGCCAACGGCUAUAAGUUAGCCAACCAUUUACAUGUGUAUUGGUUUGAAUGACUUUCUGGUGGAUCCUCAGUAGGUUUCAUCAUUUAUUUUGUCGAGCUAAGGCGACAGUGCUUAUUUGGUGUUGUCUGAUUGGAUGUAUGUAUAUGUAUAUAUAAAUACAUAUUCCUGAUUUUCUCAUUUGAUAAACAUGAUUUUUCACGUGUAUUGGUUUGAUUCGCUUUUUUAUGGACCCUUAGUACUUUUCAUCAUUUAUUUUGUCAGUUAAGA
rnacentral:lncRNA from 1 species